AUUGAACGCUGGCGGCAUGCUUUACACAUGCAAGUCGAACGGUAACGCGGGGGCAACCCUGGCGACGAGUGGCGAACGGGUGAGUAAUACAUCGGAACGUGUCCUGGAGUGGGGGAUAGCUCGGCGAAAGCCGGAUUAAUACCGCAUACGCCCUGAGGAGGACAGCGGGGGACCUUCGGGCCUCGCGCGGCGGGAGCGGCCGAGGUCGGAUUAGCUAGUGGGUGGGGUAAAGGCCCCCCAAGGCGACGUGCCGGAGCUGGUCUGAGAGGAUGAUCAGCCACACUGGAACUGAGACACGGCCCAGACUCCUACGGGAGGCAGCAGUGGGGAAUUUUGGACAAUGGGGGCAACCCUGAUCCAGCCAUGCCGCGUGAGUGAAGAAGGCCUUCGGGUUGUAAAGCUCUUUCGGACGGAACGAAACGGUUACGGUGAAUAAUCGUGACUAAUGACGGUACCGUAAGAAGAAGCACCGGCUAACUACGUGCCAGCAGCCGCAGUAA
rnacentral:rRNA from 1 species